rnacentral:rRNA from 1 species
UACGGAGGGUGCGAGCGUUGUCCGGAAUCACUGGGCGUAAAGGGCGCGUAGGCGGCCUGAUAAGUAGGGGGUGAAAUCCUGCGGCUUAACCGCAGGGCUGCCUUCUAAACUGUCAGGCUCGAGCACAGUAGAGGCAGGUGGAAUUCCCGGUGUAGCGGUGGAAUGCGUAGAGAUCGGGAGGAACACCAGUGGCGAAGGCGGCUGCCUGGGCCUGGCCUGACGCUGAGGCGCGAAAGCCAGGGGAGCGAACGGG